rnacentral:snRNA from 1 species
AUAUUACCUGGCAGGGGAGAUACCAUGAUCACUAAGGUGGUUCUCCCAGGGCGAGGCUCAUCCAUUGCACUCUGGGUGUGCUGACCCCUGCGAUUUCUCCAAAUGCGGGAAACUUACCUGCAUAAUUUGUGGUAGUGGGGGACUGCAUUCACGCUCUCCCGAU